UACGUAGGGGGCUAGCGUUGUCCGGAAUCAUUGGGCGUAAAGAGCGUGUAGGCGGCCCGGUAAGUCCGCUGUGAAAGUCGGGGGGCUCAACCCUCGGAUGCCGGUGGAUACUGUCGGGCUCGAGUACGGAAGAGGCGAGUGGAAUUCCUGGUGUAGCGGUGAAAUGCGCAGAUAUCAGGAGGAACACCUAUUGCGAAGGCAGCUCGCUGGGACGUUACUGACGCUGAGACGCGAAAGCGUGGGGAGCAAACAGG
rnacentral:rRNA from 1 species